rnacentral:tRNA from 1 species
UUGGUUGGGGGGGGCAUUGCCCCGUGGGCAAGUCUACAGCUUGCCA